rnacentral:lncRNA from 1 species
GCUGACGGUUUCACAACUGCCGCCCGGCUACGCGGGAGGCCCGGUGCUGCCCACUGCGCGUGCUCCAGGGGUCGGCCUCGCUGCGGACGCGCGCAGGGAGGUGUGACCUGCCGAGCUGGGUGAAGCAGAUGCCCGGGACGCCCUUCCUCCCUAUCACUCGCCACUGGGGUAGCUGUGAAUUAGGCCCCUUCUUUCUCCCAUCACAGUGAUGAUGCUGAUGACGUUUGCGCACAGCUGGACGGCCUUUUGCAAGCUCAGCACAAACAGCAGAUCAACUUGGCCUUGGAUCUCUGGGAAGAAAAGCUUAUCUUCAAAGAAGUGCUGGUACUGGCGUCAGAAAGGGAGACAUUCAUCCCUGUCUUUAAAGAGCGCGUUCUCUGCUUUGGGAAGAUGUUUGAAGCUGAUGUACAGUGCAUGUUUGGUGGGCCAUAAGUCAGGAUGCUCUGGGAAAAACAAGUUUUAGGCCGAAUCAAGGUUAAACCAGAAUGGCUUCCCCAUAUACCUCAAUAUGUGAAAACUUAUUAUUUUCAUCACCACCAUCAUCCAUUUUAAAAAUACUUAAGAUUUGUACCAAUGAGAAUUUUACAUUGAUCCUUUCUUUUUCUCCUUGAAAACAUAUUUUCAUUACACUUCCACCACAGAAUUUUAUCCUAAUGCAAUAUGUUUUAUGCUUCCAAGUCUUUUAUUGAUCAGACUGUGUCAUCAUGCUUCUAAGAGUUAAAAUUUCUUCUAGGUUGAGCAGCUGUUGUUAGCAAUAUACAGUUUAAUCAAUGCAUAUCAUGACAUCUGAUAAUUGUAAAGAAAAGUAAAGUUUUAUUGGAAAUGCCUGUCUUAAUG